UACGUAGGUGGCAAGCGUUGUCCGGAAUUAUUGGGCGUAAAGCGCGCGCAGGCGGCUUUGUAAGUCUGGUGUUUAAACCCGGGGCUCAACCUCGGGUCGCAUCGGAAACUGCAAGGCUUGAGUGCAGAAGAGGAAAGUGGAAUUCCACGUGUAGCGGUGAAAUGCGUAGAGAUGUGGAGGAACACCAGUGGCGAAGGCGACUUUCUGGGCUGUAACUGACGCUGAGGCGCGAAAGCGUGGGGAGCGAACAGG
rnacentral:rRNA from 1 species